UACAGAGGUCUCAAGCGUUUGUUCGGAUUCAUUGGGCGUAAAGGGUGCGUAGGUGGCGGGGUAAGUCAGGUGUGAAAUUUCGGAGCUUAACUCCGAAACUGCAUUUGAUACUGCCUUGCUUGAGGACUGGAGAGGAGACUGGAAUUCACGGUGUAGCAGUGAAAUGCGUAGAGAUCGUGAGGAAGACCAGUGGCGAAGGCGGGUCUCUGGACAGUUCUGACACUGAGGCACGAAGG
rnacentral:rRNA from 1 species